rnacentral:tRNA from 1 species
UAUGAAAGGGUGUUUUAUAGCAUAGGAUAUUUUGAAUAUUUAGGUUUUAAUUAAAUUUAUUUUUCAUAA